rnacentral:rRNA from 1 species
UCUCCGUUGGUGAACCAGCGGAGGGAUCAUUGCUGGAACGCGCCCCUGGCGCACCCAGAAACCCUUUGUGAACUCAUACCUUACCGUUGCCUCGGCGCAGGCCGGCCCCCCCCGGGGGGCCCCUCGGAGACGAGGAGCAGGCCCGCCGGCGGCCAAGUUAACUCUUGUUUUUACACUGAAACUCUGAGAAACAAAACACAAAUGAAUCAAAACUUUCAACAACGGAUCUCUUGGUUCUGGCAUCGAUGAAGAACGCAGCGAAAUGCGAUAAGUAAUGUGAAUUGCAGAAUUCAGUGAAUCAUCGAAUCUUUGAACGCACAUUGCGCCCUCUGGUAUUCCGGAGGGCAUGCCUGUUCGAGCGUCAUUUCAACCCUCAAGCCUGGCUUGGUGAUGGGGCACUGCUCCCCCCCCGGGGAGCAGGCCCUGAAAUCCAGUGGCGAGCUCGCCAGGACCCCGAGCGCAGUAGUUAAACCCUCGCUCCGGGAGGCCCUGGCGGUGCCCUGCCGUUAAACCCCCAACUUCUGAAAGUUUGACCUCGGAUCAGGUAGGAAUACCCGCUGAACUUAA